UUGACAUGCAAAAAGGCACCAAGUCCUUGACAUGGCAGAAGAAAGUGAUUUGCAGGAGGUGAAAGCGCACAAAGUAUGUUUUUAUGGAACAAAUUUCCUCAGUUAGAACGACCUCCAUAGAUUUACUGUGGCCAGUGGGAUGAUUUGUGUUCAAUUAAUUGGUACCUAAAAUUGAUGCACACUGUUGCCAUUUUUAUUCAUGAAAUACGAUGACAACGACCUCGAUCGUGUAACAGGGCCUACGCAAGAUAUCAUUCCAGCAGGUGUAAAAAUUAGUCGACUUUUCGCCAACACAUUAGGUGGAGGGCCGGGCGGCUGUCAAAAGGAAACAUCCUUGGUAUACCAGAGCACCCAGCGGAGAGGCUCACCAAAUUCCCAAACGAGCGCAUCAAGGCUCGUGUUGGCAGGAAAAGCAGGAUGCACCAGUUUUUGUGCCCUAUGUGUUUAUAUGCCAACAAGGAGUUUCACUGUACGCCAAUUGACACCGAAUCUGCUAGUCCUGUAUGCAUAUAGUCCAUGACAGGACUGGCAGACAGGAAACGCAUUAGGAAGACC